rnacentral:rRNA from 1 species
UGGUCAUAGCGGAGGGGAACCACCUGUUCCCAUCCCGAACACAGUAGUUAAGCCCUCCAGCGCCGAUGGUACUGCAGGUUUAUCCUGUGGGAGAGUAGGACACUGCCGGGA